ACUUUGUGUUCCCGGAAAAGGGUAAAACAAAGCGGGAAAGAGAACGGUGCAAGUCCGGUCUGUCCAGGUGUGUCAAUAAGAGGUCAUGCUCCCCAUGGAAGGAAAGAUGGAAAAAGACCACCUACUCAGUAGGACUCACUGUGAAAAUAUCAAGUGUUGACACAGCUUCAAGCUCAGUGCACGUGAAGAGACAGUCAACUGACAAGAAAGGGCAAAAGGCCAAAUGGUGAGAGAAAAACAGUUUUCAACUUCCAAGAAAAAGGAGACUGCAUUUAGGAGAAAAUAUCCUACUCCGCAGGUGAUUCUCACACACCAAUCUUGCUCCUGCUUAUUUUGUGGCGACGGACUCGCAAAUGAGGCAAUGAAGACUUCACGACUGCCAAAAACAAAAUUACCGAGUGCACACUUGAAUUGUCCCCCAUUACCCUUAAUUAAGAUGAUAUCGACUCAAUGAAGAAAAAAAAACAGGAGGCCCUUACUAAUUCCAUGAGCUGCAUUCACUGAAUGGGUGAAGUGUUUUCAUAAUUUGCUUUUAUUUGCGUCUAUGGAAGUUGGAACUUUUUUUUUGACAUUCAAAAUUGGUUUCACUUCUCAAGUGUUCCAUUGUACACUAAAGGUGAAAAGCUUUUUUUUUUUGCCCCUCUCCCUACCCAUUGUUUUCCUUUCUGAACUCUGACUGUAAAUUUCCCCAUUGCGGGACAAAUAAAGGAUAUCUUAAUCU